GACGAACGCUGGCGGCGUGCUUAACACAUGCAAGUCGAACGGAAAGGCCCUGCUUUUGUGGGGUGCUCGAGUGGCGAACGGGUGAGUAACACGUGAGUAACCUGCCCUUGACUUUGGGAUAACUUCAGGAAACUGGGGCUAAUACCGGAUAGGAGCUCCUGCUGCAUGGUGGGGGUUGGAGAGUUUCGGCGGUUGGGGAUGGACUCGCGGCUUAUCGGCUUGUUGGUGGGGUAGUGGCUUACCAAGGCUUUGACGGGUAGCCGGCCUGAGAGGGUGACCGGCCACAUUGGGACUGAGAUACGGCCCAGACUCCUACGGGAGGCAGCAGUGGGGAAUAUUGCACAAUGGGCGGAAGCCUGAUGCAGCAACGCCGCGUGCGGGAUGACGGCCUUCGGGUUGUAAACCGCUUUCGCCUGUGACGAAGCGUGAGUGACGGUAAUGGGUAAAGAAGCACCGGCUAACUACGUG
rnacentral:rRNA from 1 species